UAUCCUUGCCUGGAAAAUCCCAUGGACAGAGGAGCUGGCAGGCUCCAGUUCAGAGGUCACAAAGAAUUGGAUAAGACUCUGUGUGUGACUCUGAGUGACCUGAGCACAGCACAUACCACAGUGGCCAAAAUUCGUAAAGCAUUUUUGAUUAAUUAGAUGCUUAGGCAUUUUUGUAUUUCUUUGUUCUAAAAAGCAAUAGCUACAUUUUUACUACAAAGCUAUAAGCAAACCACCCCAAAACUCCACAGUCUACUCUACCCUUGUCUAGUCUUAUCACUCUCUGCAUGUUGGCUGGGCUGGUGGGGCUCUGCUGGGCCUGCCCCGUGCCUCACCCCUGCUCCAGGGUGAGGGGCCGUUGGGGGUGUGUGUCUGCGUGGCCGUGGUUGAAGCACGGUGUGAUUUACCCGACUGCUUGAGCACAUUUCAAACCUCAUCUUGUGACCUGUCUGCUCGCAUCUGAGAAACCACCCCUGGGCUCCGAGCAGGUCCCCAGUCUCAGCCUCCCGGAUCCCUUGGGCCUGUUCUGCUGUCUGUAGAGCAAGUUCUCGUCCUGGGCACCGGCCAGAGAGUCCUCGAAGCAGAGCCUGUGACGAGGGCAGGUCUAUUCACCACAGCAUGGAGGGAUCACACGAAAGGCCCAAAGACUCCUGCUGGGUUGGAUGAAAACAGGCCCAUUAUGCCAGCAACAUGUUAAAUAAUCAAUAGGUUUGAUGUAAGAGUCUGUCUUCCAUUUCAUCCCUUUCUCUCUAACUCUCCUGCCAGUUAUUUUUUACUUUUUCCUGGAAGACAGUAUUUGCCUGGAAGAUAUGUGUAUCCAAUGAAAUCUUGAGAAAUGAGUUAUGUCCUAUCAUUAUUGCUACUCUCAAGACAUGUUCCAGGGAAAAGAAAAUAUGAGCAGGAUAUAGUUGGCAACUUUGGUGAUGAAGCUUUUCAGAGAUCUGCGCCUACCCCUGGCCCCCCAGCGUGCGAGGAGUGAUGCACUCUCUUUGCGGUGCCUCCAAGUCCCGUCACCAUCACCAGCCUCCGUCACACCACAAAGUCUAACCUCAGAAAAGAAUCUCCGCACUGAGCCGCAAGUGGGGCAGAACAGAGCUCCGUUCAUGUGUGCCAAGUGCUCAGGGUGAAUCGUGCCCUUUUCUAGAAGGAGCAGCAGGAGCCCGAGGCCUUCCCGUGAGGGACCGCGGACCUGGGGAGGGGUGGGCGAGUUGAACUCGCACUUUGCCCUAGGAGUUUGUGACCUUGGGCAGGAUUCCCGGCAGCUCUGAGCAUCAGUAUCCUCCCUGGAAAAGAAGAGCAUUAAUGUCUGACCCAUGAGGCUACAGAGCAACCUCUCCGAGGGCAGGGCCAGUGCUGUCCUGUCUACACGCCCCCCCUCCACUCCCUCCUCUGGUAGGAAGGCCCUGAUUUUCUGCCAUCCGUCCCACCUCUGAGACCCCUGGAGAUGCCAGCUGCUUCCCAGUCACUGCACGCCUUCCUCGACAGCCACAUCCCAGUCCCCUCCGCCCAGGUCCCUUCACACCUGUCUCCUCCUUGGUUAUUUCUGCUGCAGAUGUUUCAGAGACCCCACCAUCCCUACGAGUGGCUCCAAAGCCCUUGAGUCCACUUUCACAGCUUCUGCUCCUCUUGGAUCGAGGGAACCAUGGGAAUGGCCUUCUGGUCCUGGCCACGGCCCAUCCAGACUUCUUCUGCCUGUCCUCACUCGGACCCUAGCUCUCCUCUCGGCUCAGGGCAGAGACUCUGGUUUGUCCUCAGAACUGCCCACUUAGAAACAUCCCCAGCCUCUGCAGCAUGCUCUGUGAACCUUGCCAGGUGGAACCCCGGAGCUGAGAGAACCCAGAUGUCUUGGACCUGUGCUGGGGCCCAGGCAGUGAGGUGUACCUGGAGAUGAGAAAAUCAGUCCACGUGGCUUCCCCCUCCGAUGACGCUGGGCCCGUCGGUGUCUCCUCCACCUUGAUUUCCUCCAGGAGGAUUCUACAGCUUCUUCUGGGCCCGCCUUCGACCCCUCCAGCCCCCACCCUCCCUGACACGCAGCGUGCCCUUCACAAGUCCAGCUGGCCACUUCCUCACCCCAAGGCCAUGAUGGGGCCUUUCUCUGCCCCACCCUUGGGCCCCUGGGCAGAAGUUCUUCUCUCCGCUGGUGGCGGGGUGGGGGUGGGGGUGGGGUCCUGCCCUCCCCCUCCCGGUGGGCCCUGCCCCUCGCCAGCUCUGGGCCCCCUGUACCCUCCCUGUCACCUGGCUCCCUCCCAUGAUGGCAGAUCCUCUUUUCCACUCGCAGGGUUCCCAGCUGAGAAGAGCCCAUCUUCACCCUGGCCCCCCUCCUCUGGCCCUAAUUCUCUGAGGCCCCCAGAGCUCUGUCUGGGGAACGUCCGGGGAACAGAGCUCCCAGCUCAGUGGGGGCGCUGUCAGUCACUCUAGAGCAGGACAGGGGGACGGGCAGGAGGGCCCUGUGGCGGGCCGGCCGGCCGCCUCUGGCCUGGGGCCCCAGCAGGCGGUCUGGGGAGUUCCUCCCUCCCAGCCUCGGUGCGUGUCCUCCCCUCUCCCCCUAGGUCUCCACCGGAUGAUCAGAACGGGACCCAGGAAACACGGCUUUCUCAGGGUUGGCUCGGUUUGUGAGGCCAGGUCUGGCUGGCCUGGGACUGGCUGGCCUGGGUCUGGAAGCUUUCUUUCCACCAGCCGUGAGCACGGUCCACACCUCCUCAGACCCGGUCAGAGAUGCAAGCCCUCAGCCCCUCUGCCGGGGGAGCCCAAGACAGUUCCUCCCACCUGGGUGAAGCCACUCUGGUCCAGCCACCACGCUGCUCCUGGGAAGGGACAUCCCUGUGGUCACCACAUCACCCUCGGUUCAUGUCCAUCCCCCUGGGGCCACUGCGGGGCCUUCAGAGCCAUUGGUCUUGUGAACGGCCACCUCCUCCAGAAGCUCAUGAUUUUAACUCCAUGAUCAGUGACCCCACCACCCGCCCAACAUCGCGGGUCUGGAGCGUCUCCUCCUCAGGAGGGUGUGUGAUCACUGACCCUCCCUUCCCCAACACACACACCCCCCAGCAUCGCGGGCCUGGAGCGUCUCCUCUUCAGGAGGGUGUGCGAUCAGUGACACCCCCCACCCCGUCCCCUAACCACCCCCCUCCACAGCAUCGUGGACUGGAGCUGCUCCUCCUCAGGACAGAGUGCACAUUUACUGACGUGUGUGUUUAUCGCUCAUGGCCUCAGCCGCCUCCUGAUCAGGAGUCAAGGAGGGCAGAGCUUCCUCCCCUCUCACUCAUGAGUUUCCAGCUCCCAAAGCAGAG